rnacentral:miRNA from 1 species
CGAUUGUGGAACCGCGUAGGCUGCCU